rnacentral:tRNA from 1 species
AUCCCCAUGUCCAAGUGGUUAAGGAGAAAGAUUCGAAAUCUGUUGGGCUUUGCCUGCGCAGGUUCGAAUCCUGCUGUUGACG